CACGGUGUGGUGUCAGCAGGAGUGACAGCGGCCCCCAAGCUGUGCUCCCUGCCCCCCGUG
rnacentral:miRNA from 1 species